CUCAGCGCUGAUUAUCAUUAAUGUCACAGAACCUACCCAGAUAGUAUGAUAGUAGCCAGUAUGGAGUUGUUGAAGUUUAUUGACAUAAAAAUUAACCAAAACUCUUUUCUUCUUGACACGCCCAGUUCUGGUGAUGACUUCACUUCUAACAGAAGUCAUCCCUUAAACACAAAUACGUAAUAGAACAGAUCUCAGUAAGGAGCUUAUUUUUCUAACUGAACUGAAAUUUCUUAUUAAUGCUCCUAAUUUCCCAAUUGUGUACUUACGGCAGGGUGAAUAUGGCUCCAGAGGCUAGAUCAGAUAAGUUCCUUGGGCUCUGUGUAAUGAUUAUUAGCCUCUUUGAGGGAAGUGUGUCUGUUCUUGGGGCUAAACCACACCAAGCCAUCCCCAUCUUUGAAAAUCUAUUUGAAAAUGUCCAUAUCCUCUUUUAUUCAAGAUUUUGAUUUCGUCUCUCCAAAUCAGACUUCUCCAUGUGUGGGAAUCUACGUAGUCCCAAGACUUUUGCUAAUAAAGUAUUUUCAGUUUUAUCCUAAGUACAAGAAUAUAUGUCAUUAUGGAAUUUAUCAGGAAAUAUUUGGCAAAAAAGGAAAGAAAAGAAUGUUAACUAUUUAGGUAGUUUUUAUUAGA
rnacentral:lncRNA from 1 species